AAAGCCACAAAUACAUGAUGGAAGUAAAAGCGGCGGAAAACCAUGGAUAGUGCAAUUAUUGAUAACCCAAACGAAUCACCAAAUUCCAAUUCAGAUCCAGCGGCAGGUAGUAUGUUGGAAAGUCGACCGAAAACGAUGGAAUUAGAUAAUAACACAGUGGAAAAUGUAGCAAAUGCCGAUCGCAAUAUAACGACGGGUAGUAUUUUAAAAAGGCAAGUAUAUUUUUA